AUUGAACGCUGGCGGCAGGCCUAACACAUGCAAGUCGAACGAGUGGCGGACGGGUGAGUCAUGUCUGGGAAACUGCCUUAUGGAGGGGGAUAAAUACUGGAAACGGUCUCUAAUACCACAUACCAUCAGAUGUGCCCAGAUGGGAUUAGCUAGGUUGUGGGGUAACGGCUCACCAAGGCGACGCUCCCUAGCUGGUCUGAGAGGAUGCCCAGCAACAGUGGAACGGAGACAGGGUCCAGACUCCUACGGGAGGCAGAAGUGGGGAAUAUUGCACAAUGGGCGCAAGCCUGAUGCAGCCAUGCCGCGUGUAUGAAGAAGGCCUUCGGGUUGUAAAGUACUGUCAGCGGGGAGGCGUUACCCGCAGAAGAAGCACCGGCUAACUCCGUGCCAGCAGCCGCGGUAAUAC
rnacentral:rRNA from 1 species